rnacentral:rRNA from 1 species
AGAGUUUGAUCCUGGCUCAGAACGAACGCUGGCGGCAUGCUUAACAGAUGCAAGUCGAACGCGUGGUUCCGGUUCGCCGGGGCCACGAGUGGCGCACGGGUGAGUAGCGCGUGGGAACCUGCCCUCUUGUGGGGGAUAACCGAGGGAAACCUCGGCUAAUACCGCAUAAGCCGGAGAGAUCCGGGAAAGAUUUAUCGCGAGAGGAGGGGCCCGCGUCGGAUUAGCUUGUUGGUGGGGUAACGGCCUACCAAGGCGAUGAUCCGUAGCUGGUCUGAGAGGAUGAUCAGCCACACUGGGACUGAGACACGGCCCAGACUCCUACGGGAGGCAGCAGUGGGGAAUAUUGGACAAUGGGCGCAAGCCUGAUCCAGCAAUGCCGCGUGAGUGAGGAAGGCCUUAGGGUUGUAAAGCUCUUUCACCCGCGACGAUGAUGACGGUAGCGGGAGAAGAAGCCCCGGCUAACUUCGUGCCAGCAGCCGCGGUAAUACGAAGGGGGCGAGCGUUGUUCGGAUUUACUGGGCGUAAAGGGCGCGCAGGCGGCUUAUUUUGUCAGGCGUGAAAGCCCUGGGCUUAACCUGGGACUGCGUUUGAUACGGAUGGGCUAGAGUUCGGGAGAGGAGAGUGGAAUUCCCAGUGUAGAGGUGAAAUUCGUAGAUAUUGGGAAGAACACCGGUGGCGAAGGCGGCUCUCUGGACCGAGACUGACGCUGANNNGCGAAAGCGUGGGGAGCAAACAGGAUUAGAUACCCUAGUAGUCC